rnacentral:rRNA from 1 species
UGGGGAAUAUUGCACAAUGGGCGCAAGCCUGAUGCAGCCAUGCCGCGUGUGUGAAGAAGGCCUUCGGGUUGUAAAGCACUUUCAGCGAGGGGGAAGGGUAGUGUGUUAAUAGCACAUUGCAUUGACGUUACUCGCAGAAGAAGCACCGGCUAACUCCGUGCCAGCAGCCGCGGUAAUACGGAGGGUGCAAGCGUUAAUCGGAAUUACUGGGCGUAAAGCGCACGCAGGCGGUUUGUUAAGUCAGAUGUGAAAUCCCCGCGCUUAACGUGGGAACUGCAUUUGAAACUGGCAAGCUAGAGUCUUGUAGAGGGGGGUAGAAUUCCAGGUGUAGCGGUGAAAUGCGUAGAGAUCUGGAGGAAUACCGGUGGCGAAGGCGGCCCCCUGGACAAAGACUGACGCUCAGGUGCGAAAGCGUGGGGAGCAAACA